rnacentral:rRNA from 1 species
UGCUUACACAUGCAAGUCGAACGGUGACGAGGAGCUUGCUCCUCUGAUCAGUGGCGAACGGGUGAGUAACACGUGAGUAACCUGCCCCAGACUCUGGAAUAACAGUUGGAAACAGCUGCUAAUACCGGAUACGAGACGGAGCCGCAUGGCUACCGUCUGGAAAGUUUUUCGGUCUGGGAUGGACUCGCGGCCUAUCAGCUUGUUGGUGAGGUAAUGGCUCACCAAGGCGACGACGGGUAGCCGGCCUGAGAGGGCGACCGGCCACACUGGGACUGAGACACGGCCCAGACUCCUACGGGAGGCAGCAGUGGGGAAUAUUGCACAAUGGGCGAAAGCCUGAUGCAGCGACGCCGCGUGAGGGAUGACGGCCUUCGGGUUGUAAACCUCUUUCAGCAGGGAAGAAGCGCAAGUGACGGUACCUGCAGAAGAAGCACCGGCUAACUACGUGCCAGCAGCCGCGGUAAUACGUAGGGUGCGAGCGUUGUCCGGAAUUAUUGGGCGUAAAGAGCUUGUAGGCGGUUUGUCGCGUCUGCUGUGAAAAUCCGGGGCUCAACCCCGGACUUGCAGUGGGUACGGGCAGACUAGAGUGUGGUAGGGGAGACUGGAAUUCCUGGUGUAGCAGUGAAAUGCGCAGAUAUCAGGAGGAACACCAAUGGCGAAGGCAGGUCUCUGGGCCAUCACUGACGCUGAGAAGCGAAAGCGUGGGGAGCGAACAGGAUUAGAUACCCUGGUAGUCCAUGCCGUAAACGUUGGGCGCUAGGUGUGGGACUCAUUUCACGAGUUCUGUGCCGCAGCUAACGCAUUAAGCGCCCCGCCUGGGGAGUACGGCCGCAAGGCUAAAACUCAAAGGAAUUGACGGGGGCCCGCACAAGCGGCGGAGCAUGUGGAUUAAUUCGAUGCAACGCGAAGAACCUUACCAAGGCUUGACAUAUACGAGAAUGCGCAGAGAUGCCGAGCUCUUUGGACACUCGUAUACAGUGGUGCAUGGUUGUCGUCAGCUCGUGUCGUGAGAUGUUGGGUUAGUCCCGCACGAGCGCAGCCUCGUUCUAUGUUGCCAGCGCGUUAUGGCGGGGACUCAUAGAGACUGCCGGGGUCACUCGGAGGAAGGUGGGGAUGACGUCAAUCAUCAUGCCCUUAUGUCUUGGGCUUCACACAUGCUACAAUGGGCCGGGUACAAAGGGCUGCGGAAACCGCGAGGGUGGAGCGAAUUCCCCUAAAAACCGGCCCCCACAUUCGGAAUAGGGGGGUGUUCUAUUUGAAACAUUGUAAUAUUCUGGAGAGACGCCCCCUCUUUAUAUAAUUUA